rnacentral:snRNA from 1 species
GAGCUCGCUUCUGCAGCACAUAUCCUAAAAUUGGAAUGAUACGAGAAGAUUAGCAUGGCUCCUGAGCAAGGAUGACAUGAAAAUUCAUGAAGCUUUCCGUAUUUUA